AUCGAAGUCCCAACCAGACUGAACUGAUCAAGCUGUUGAAACAUGUGGUUCAGCUGUCUUUGUAUAAUUUGAUACUACACUGUAUAGAUUUCAUCUAAAACAAAGUGUUUUAUUGCAUUUUGUUAAUUAGGAUUUAGAAAAUUUUCUGAAUGGCGGCGGUCACACAAGGGCUUGGAGCUACAGCGGCUCUUUCAUCAGCCAAUUCCGAGAAAUUUCAGCUCACUACUCGCAGAUCGCUCUCAGGUUUGUGGAAUUACUGAUCCAGUUUCCUUUACAAUGUGAAUUUGGUUUAUUCUGCUUUGAUUUGAUAUGGAUCUUGUUUAUUUUACUCAGCUGUUUGUUCUUUUGGGGUUUCACAUUUUUUCAGUUUUAUUUGUUAUUGUGAUUAUGAAAUCUACCCCCCUCCCCUCUUCGAUUGUUCAUGUGAGGUGUUUUAAUUAGUAAUUUAGUUUCAACAUCGACUUGUCCGAAUUCUGUAAUCUCAAAGUUCGAAAUUGGUUUUGUAGAUUUGUUCAAAUGGAUAUUCAUCGUUGUUUGUGUUGUGAAAUUCCGGAGUUUUAUAGUUUAAUUGGAUUAACUUACUUCCCAAUAUUCUAGUCUUGUGGAAGUUGCAAUAGGUGUCUUUUAUGGUGUACCGGUGACAACAAGUAUGCUAAUUAUUUGGUUUUGAUGUUAAAUUUGUUCUUAUGUUUGUUUCAGGGAGGAAAAGAAGAUUCUUUAUUUUUGAAUCCAAUGGAAAUCCGAGAUCCGGUUUGAAUCGGCAAAUCAACAGAACCAGACAAUUUUUUACUAAUGCAGUAGCAGUUAGUUUCUGACCUCUUCUUCUGUGGAUGUGUCGACACGUAUUAUACUUCUAAGUUCUAUCAUGUCAAUUAUGUCAAGAUCUUUUUUGAUAUUCAAUUGCGUAACUAUCGUUUCUUAAGAUUGUCUCUUGGUAAAAGUUUUUAAUUUUUAUUGCAGACAAAGCCAGAUAGUGCAGCAGCUUCAACUCUAUCCAAGCAUGGGUAUGCUUCUCCUCCCAAUUUAUAUGUAUAUGCAAGUGUUGAUGGUUGAAAUUGGUUUUUGCUAAAUUAAUCCUAUGUCAUUUUAGCUAACAUUAGGAAAUUUUUAUUUAUCUUUCCUUAUAGAGUAGAUUGAAGUUGAAAACUUUGCCAAAGUUUCUUUUUUUGUUAGAUGAGGAAUGUAGACACAGUCCUGUCUUCUUCAGUGUUAUGUUACGAUUGGUUCAGCUGUUCCAUAUGGAACCUUUUAGGUUGAUUUAUCUAGUUGAGUUCAUUGUAGAGCACUUUCUAUCUCACUUCAAAUUAACAAGUUAUUUGUCAGCCAUUGUAUCUAAUUUAACAAGUGUUUUCUACUUCUCUUAGAUUGACCAUAUGCCACAUCAUAUUCGAUUCCUUUUUGCAUAUAAUAUUCAUUAGUACCUGCAUUGUUAUCCUACAGUAAAAUUAGUGAUAUUUGAUUUCUUCAUUAGGCAUGAGCUUUUGCUUUUUGAAGCUCUCCGUGAAGGCCUUGAAGAAGAAAUGGACAGAGAUCCUUACGUCUGUGUUAUGGGUGAAGAUGUGGGUCAUUAUGGAGGUUCAUACAAGGUGACCAAAGGGUUGGCAGAUAAGUACGGUGAUCUCAGGGUUCUUGACACUCCCAUUGCUGAAAACUCCUUCACCGGCAUGGCCAUUGGAGCUGCCAUGACUGGCUUGCGUCCCGUUGUUGAGGGAAUGAACAUGGGAUUUCUCCUUCUGGCUUUUAACCAAAUCUCGAACAACUGUGGUAUGCUCCACUACACAUCUGGUGGUCAGUUUAAGAUACCAGUUGUCAUCCGUGGGCCUGGUGGAGUGGGACGACAGCUUGGAGCAGAGCACUCACAACGCCUUGAGUCUUAUUUCCAGUCAAUACCCGGAAUUCAGAUGGUGGCAUGCUCAACCCCAUACAAUGCUAAAGGUUUGAUGAAGGCAGCUAUCAGAAGCGAGAAUCCCGUGAUUCUUUUUGAGCACGUUUUGCUUUACAACCUCAAAGAGAGGAUUCCAGAUGAAGAGUACGUAUUGAAUCUUGAGGAAGCUGAGAUGGUUAGGCCAGGUGAGCACAUCACUAUUUUAACUUACUCCAGAAUGAGGUACCACGUGAUGCAGGCUGCGAAAACUUUGGUCAACAAAGGAUAUGAUCCUGAAGUCAUUGAUAUCAGAUCAUUGAAGCCAUUUGAUCUUUACACCAUUGGGAAUUCUGUGAAGAAAACUCAUCGUGUGGUAAUUGUAGAGGAGUGCAUGCGCACAGGUGGAAUUGGUGCCAGCUUGACGGCUUCGAUUAAUGAAAAUUUCCAUGAUUAUUUGGAUGCCCCAAUUGUAUGUUUGUCUUCACAGGACGUGCCAACUCCAUAUGCUGCAUCACUGGAGGAAUGGACUGUCGUCCAGCCUGCACAAAUUGUAGCUGCGGUUGAACAGCUUUGCCAAUAGUUGGAUUGACAAGUAUGGUGAAGACAGGACAGACUGAUUUUCCAGCAUGUACUAUCGUGAUUCAUGGCCUAUUUUGACGUUACUAUCUACUGUCAAAUUUUUGUUACAAAGUUUAGGUCUCUUGACUUGCACGUAUUAGUUGAGUUGAGAAUUAUUGUUUCUAUGUUGUUUUACUUGACCGUGACAGAAACUGUGAUUUUGUUCUUGAACCAAAUUUACUUUCGCAUCUGUUGUAACUGAGAACUCUUAUCUUGAUCAUAUUUAAAUAAAGUUUUCUUGUUCAAAUGGAUCUGCAGCAGGAAAAUGUAGUUGAGAUUGUGGAUUUGUGCAUCUU
rnacentral:lncRNA from 1 species